GUACUCUCCAAGCCAUGCGAGAAGUCACACCUAUCUACGAGUCAUUAAAGGUGUGUUCCCAAAACGUUACAUUAAUUUCAUUUGCCCAAAAUCGCAGUUGAGUAAUCAACAAUAACUAUACAGCACGAACAACGAGAUCGCCAACUGGAUAAGGAAAUUAUGCGUAUGUGCCGUGCUCGUAUCUCUCGCACCUCUUGAUACGUACGUUUAUGGUCGUUUGGAGUCAAAGAUAAAGAUAUAUCUUUAAUUACUGCAGUAGAAAAUCUUCACCUGGAAAAAUCAAAAAAACUAGAAUCAUUAACUCAAGAAAUUCUUCAACAUUAUGAUAAAUUGAAAGUUACCACCAACAAUGUUAAUCCAUUAUCUACAGUUUUUCCUUCAAUACCAAAUAUAAAAAAAACCGUUUUUUCUUUGGAAGAUUUAGCAAGAGAAUUGGAAAAAUAUGGAUAUAAAUAUAAAAUAGAAACAUUCCAAAAACAACCAUAUAUUAUGAUGAUGAAAAUCUGUGAAACCAAUGCCAUAAUGAUGGGCAAGGGAGACACCAAAGAGGAAGCAUUAAGAGACUUAUUUGAAAAUGUCAUUCUAAUGUUUGAUAAUGGCUUUUCUCUAAAAACUGAAUUUUGAAAUAGUUUCUGAAGAAAUAUUGUUAUUUAAACAGUUUAUUAUGUAUUAUAUUUAUAAUUGAGUAUUGAUGAUUUAAUAUACAAGUGGAUAGAA